rnacentral:rRNA from 1 species
AUUGAACGCUGGCGGCAGGCCUAACACAUGCAAGUCGAGCGGAGCGGCGGACGGGUGAGUAAGGCAUAGGCAUCUGCAUGGCUGUGGGGGCUAACGUCCGGCAACGGGCGCUAAUUACGACUACUAUCCACUGGGACUCGGUGGGAUUAGCUAGUUGGUGGGGUAAAGGCCUACCCACGCGACGAUCCGUACCUGGUCUGAGAGGAUGAUCAGGCACACUGGAACUGAGACACGGUCCAGAAUCCUACGGGAGGCAGCAGUGGGGAAUAUUGGACAAUGGGCGAAAGCCUGAUGCAGCCAUGCCGCGUGUAUGAAGAAGGUCUUCGGGUUGUAAAGUACUUUAAGUUGGGAGGCGUUACCAGCAGAAUAAGCACCGGCUAACUCCGUGCCAGCAGCCGCGGUAAUAC